rnacentral:rRNA from 1 species
GACGAACGCUGGCGGCGUGCUUAACACAUGCAAGUCGAACGGAAAGGCCUUUUCGGUGGUACUUGAGUGGCGAACGGGUGAGUAACACGCGGGUGAUCAGCCCUGCAUUCUGGUUUAAGCCUGGGAAACUAGGUCUAAUACCGGAUAGGACCGCACUCUCGUGUGUGUGGUGGCAAGUUAUUUCGGUGUCGGGUACGCCCGCGGCCUAUAGGCUUGUUGGUGGGGUAAUGGCCUACCAAGGCGGCGACGGGUAGCGGGACAGAGGGGGUGGUAGGCCACAAUGGGACUGAGAGGAGGGCCAGAUUCCGAAAGGGGGAAAGAGGGGGGAAGAUUGGACAAUGGGUGCGAGGCUGGUGCAGGGACGCCUCGGGGUGGAUGGCGGCCUUGGGGUUGUAAAAUCCUUUCGCCAGGGGCGAAGCGUUUUGUGACGGUACCUGGAGAAUAAGCACCGGCUAACUACGUG